rnacentral:rRNA from 1 species
GGGGAAUCUUGCACAAUGGGGGAAACCCUGAUGCAGCGACGCCGCGUGAGCGAUGAAGCCCUUCGGGGUGUAAAGCUCUUUCGGUGGGGAAGAAAGAAGACGGUACCCACAGAAGCAGCUGCGGCUAACUACGUGCCAGCAGCCGCGGUAAUACGUAGGCAGCGAGCGUUGUUCGGAGUUACUGGGCGUAAAGGGUGUGUAGGCGGUCUUCCGUGUCUGGUGUGAAAUCUCCCGGCUCAACUGGGAGGGUGCGCCGGAAACUGGGAGGCUUGGAGUGCGGGAUGGGAGAGUGGAAUUCCUGGUGUAGCGGUGAAAUGCGUAGAUAUCAGGAGGAACACCGGUGGUGUAGACGGCUCUCUGGACCGUAACUGACGCUGAGACACGAAAGCGUGGGUAGCAAAC